AGAGGAAACGGCGUGGAGGCUUUGCAGUUCAGGCGAAGAAGCCAAAAAGAAACGAAAAAGAUGCGGAGCCGCCAGCUAAGCGGCACGCCACAGCAGAGGAGGUGGAGGAAGAAGAGAGGGACCGGAUCCCAGGCCCCGUUUGCAAGGUUUGUGAAAUGAAGAACUGUAAUAAAUGCAUCUAUUUUGAAGCUAAGAAAAAACAGGAUCUCUAUAUGUGGCUUUCAAAUUCACCUCACGGACCAUCUGCUAAAUUCCUUGUUCAAAAUAUUCAUACCCUCGCUGAACUAAAGAUGACUGGAAACUGUUUGAAAGGUUCUCGGCCCCUUUUGUCUUUUGACCCUGCUUUUGAUGAAUUACCACAUUAUGCUUUGUUAAAAGAACUCUUAAUUCAGAUCUUUAGUACACCACGGUAUCAUCCCAAAAGCCAACCAUUUGUGGACCACGUGUUUACUUUCACCAUUUUGGAUAAUAGGAUAUGGUUUCGGAACUUUCAGAUCAUAGAAGAAGAUGCUGCUCUUGUAGAAAUAGGACCUCGUUUUGUCUUAAAUCUCAUAAAGAUUUUCCAGGGAAGUUUUGGAGGACCAACUUUAUAUGAAAAUCCUCACUACCAGUCACCAAACAUGCAUCGGCGUGUCAUAAGAUCCAUCACAGCUGCAAAAUACAGAGAGAAACAGCAAGUGAAAGAUGUGCAAAAACUGAGAAAGAAAGAGCCAAAGACUCUUCUUCCACAUGAUCCCACUGCA
rnacentral:sRNA from 1 species